GUGGGUGGAGGAAGAGAGGAAGACUCCUUGUUAAAAAUAUAGAAGACCUAGACCUCUGCCCUCUGUGCCCAGCCCCCUGGGUCUCCUCCUACUGUUGGCCUCCAAAGCAAACAAGAAGACCCCAGGGUCCCAACUAUCAGCCUGUGAAAGUGAUGUGGUCUGGGUAGGGGUGAGCCCAGCCAAGCGAGGGGAGGCAAGCAGGAGACAGAAGAAGAAGGGGACAGUGGAGAGGCAGAGGACAAGGAAGCCAAGACGGUCACUUCAUUCUCCCGAUUCCAGCUCCCAGAAGGGGAGAUUGCUGCCAUUCUCUACGUCCCCACCCCAGCACCCAUAAGGAAACGAACCUUUGCCAUAGCAGGAGGAAUUUGGGCUACACACCAGGAGGGACUUCCACCUGGGCUUUCCCAAUUCCGGGUCACGAGCCAGAGAAUGGAGCGGGGGUUCAGGGUCCAGGGGUGAGGGACUGCGUCUAGGCAUCAUUCUGGGACAACAGAAGCAUGUUGGAUUGGGGUCGGGGGUGGAGGAGGGACCCAAGGACACCUACCUGUCAACCAGGAAUCCCAGACUUUCCUAAUUUUCCAGCUGAAAGUGUUCUUUAACGUUCA